GGCAGUUCUCGGGUGACGCGCCCCGGAAUUGGGCUCCCUCCUCUCUGGUUCUGGGUGCGUCACCCAAGAACGAAGCU
rfam:Myotis brandtii contig191012, whole genome shotgun sequence.